GCCCCCAUCGUCCAGCGGCCUAGGACGCCGGCCUUUCACGCCGGUAACACGGGUUCGAAUCCCGUUGGGGGUACCA
rnacentral:tRNA from 3 species